rnacentral:rRNA from 1 species
AGAGUUUGAUCCUGGCUCAGAUUGAACGCUGGCGGUAUGCUUAACACAUGCAAGUCGAACGGUAACAGGAGAGAGCUUGCUCUCUUGCUGACGAGUGGCGGACGGGUGAGUAACGCGUAGGAAUCUGCCUGGUAGUGGGGGACAACUUGAGGAAACUCAAGCUAAUACCGCAUACGCCCUAAGGGGGAAAGCGGGGGAUCUUUUAGACCUCGCGCUAUCAGAUGAGCCUGCGUUAGAUUAGCUGGUUGGUGAGGUAAAGGCUCACCAAGGCGACGAUCUAUAGCUGGUCUGAGAGGACGAUCAGCCACACUGGGACUGAGACACGGCCCAGACUCCUACGGGAGGCAGCAGUGGGGAAUAUUGGACAAUGGGCGCAAGCCUGAUCCAGCAAUACCGCGCGUGUGAAGAAGGCCUGAGGGUUGUAAAGCACUUUCAGAGGGGAGGAAAAAGCACGGGCCAAUACCCUGUGCCUUGACAUUACCCUCAGAAGAAGCACCGGCUAACUCCGUGCCAGCAGCCGCGGUAAUACGGAGGGUGCGAGCGUUAAUCGGAAUUACUGGGCGUAAAGCGUACGUAGGCGGUUUGUUAAGUCAGAAGUGAAAGCCCCGGGCUUAACCUG